rnacentral:rRNA from 1 species
GAUGAACGCUGGCGGCGUGCCUAAUACAUGCAAGUCGAGCGAACAGACGAGGAGCUUGCUCCUCUGACGUUAGCGGCGGACGGGUUAGUAACACGUGGAUAACCUACCUAUAAGACUGGGAUAACUUCGGGAAACCGGAGCUAAUACCGGAUAAUAUAUUGAACCGCAUGGUUCAAUAGUGAAAGACGGUUUUGCUGUCACUUAUAGAUGGAUCCGCGCCGCAUUAGCUAGUUGGUAAGGUAACGGCUUACCAAGGCAACGAUGCGUAGCCGACCUGAGAGGAUGAUCGGCCACACUGGAACUGAGACACGGUCCAGACUCCUACGGGAGGCAGCAGUAGGGAAUCUUCCGCAAUGGGCGCAAGCCUGACGGAGCAACGCCGCGUGAGUGAUGAAGGUCUUCGGAUCGUAAACCUCUUUUAUUCGGAACGAACAAAUGUGUAAGUAACUAUGCGCGUCUUGACGGUACCUAAUCAGAAAGCCACGGCUAACUACGUG